rnacentral:rRNA from 1 species
UACGUAGGGUGCAAGCGUUGUCCGGAAUUAUUGGGCGUAAAGAGCUCGUAGGCGGUUUGUCGCGUCGGGAGUGAAAUCCACUGGCUUAACUGGUGGCUUGCUUUCGAUACGGGCAGACUGGAGGUAUGCAGGGGAGAACGGAAUUCCUGGUGUAGCGGUGAAAUGCGCAGAUAUCAGGAGGAACACCGGUGGCGAAGGCGGAUCUCUGGGCCGAUACUGACGUUGAGGAGCGAAAGCGUGGGGAGCGAACAGG